rnacentral:rRNA from 1 species
GAUGAACGCUGGCGGCGUGCUUAACACAUGCAAGUCGAACGGGAAACCUUUUAUUGAAGCUUCGGCAGAUUUAGCUGGUUUCUAGUGGCGGACGGGUGAGUAACGCGUGGGUAACCUGCCUUAUACAGGGGGAUAACAGUCAGAAAUGGCUGCUAAUACCGCAUAAGCGCACAGAGCUGCAUGGCUCAGUGUGAAAAACUCCGGUGGUAUAAGAUGGACCCGCGUUGGAUUAGCUGGUUGGUGGGGUAACGGCCCACCAAGGCGACGAUCCAUAGCCGGCCCGAGAGGGUGAACGGCCACAUUGGGACUGAGACACGGCCCAGACUCCUACGGGAGGCAGCAGUGGGGAAUAUUGCACAAUGGGUGAAACCCUGAUGCAGCGACGCCGCGUGAAGGAAGAAGUAUCUCGGUAUGUAAACUUCUAUCAGCAGGGAAGAUAAUGACGGUACCUGACUAAGAAGCCCCGGCUAACUACGUG